AUGCAUUUAGGUGCAGCGUUGCGUGUUUCUUGCCGGAGGUAGAGCACUGGAUGGUCUAGGGGGCCCACAAGCUUACCGAAAUCAGCCAAACUCCGAAUGCCGGUAAGUGAGAGCGCAGCAGUGAGACUGCGGGGGAUAAGCUCCGUAGUCGAGAGGGAAACAGCCCAGACCAUCAGCUAAGGCCCCUAAGCGGUGACUAAGUGGAAAAGGAUGUGGAGUCGCAGUGACAACCAGGAGGUUGGCUUGGAAGCAGCCACCCUUGAAAGAGUGCGUAAUAGCUCACUGGUCAAGUGAUUCCGCGCCGACAAUGUAGCGGGGCUCAAGUCAUCCGCCGAAGCUAUGGCAUUCACGCGUGUAUCUAGCUGCCACCUCGUGUGGUUGGUUCAGGUGUGUGGAUGGGUAGGGGAGCGUCGUGUCGCGUGUGAAGUUCCGGAGUGAUCCAGGGGUGGAUGCGACACGAGUGAGAAUGCAGGCAUGAGUAGCGAAUCACGGGUGAGAAACCCGUGCGCCGAAUGAUCAAGGGUUCCAGGGUCAAGCUAAUCUGCCCUGGGUAAGUCGGGACCUAAGGCGAGGCCGACAGGCGUAGUCGAUGGACAACGGGUUGAUAUUCCCGUACCGGCAACGUAGCGCCCAUGACGAACCUGGUGAUGCUAACCAUCCGAAGCGCAGGUUGACCGAUCCCUUCGGGGUGAGGCUCUUGUGUGGAGCGUGGGACCCGAGCUGGUAGUAGUCAAGCGAUGGGGUGACGCAGGAAGGUAGCCCAACCACGCCGAUGGUUGUUGCGUGGGUAAGCAGGUAGGGGGCGGUCCAGGUAAAUCCGGAUCGCUGUGCUUCGAGCACGGCCCUGAGAUGUGAUGCCGAGCCCGUAUGGGCGAAGUGGGUGAUCCUAUGCUGUCGAGAAAAACCUCUAGCGAGCUAUGCGCCGCCCGUACCCCAAACCGACUCAGGUGAUCAGGUAGAGAAUACCAAGGCGAUCGAGCGAACCAUGGUUAAGGAACUCGGCAAAAUGCCCCCGUAACUUCGGGAGAAGGGGGGCCGGAUCCGUGACCACCCUUGCGGUGGAAAGCGGUGAUGGCCGCAGAGACCAGGCCCAAGCGACUGUUUACUAAAAACACAGGUCCGUGCGAAGUUGUAAGACGAUGUAUACGGACUGACUCCUGCCCGGUGCUGGAAGGUUAAGGGGAACUGUUAGCGCAAGCGAAGCGGUGAACUUAAGCCCCAGUAAACGGCGGUGGUAACUAUAACCAUCCUAAGGUAGCGAAAUUCCUUGUCGGGUAAGUUCCGACCUGCACGAAUGGAGUAACGACUUGGGCGCUGUCUCAACCAUGGACUCGGCGAAAUUGCACUACGAGUAAAGAUGCUCGUUACGCGCGGCAGGACGGAAAGACCCCGGGACCUUUACUAUAGUUUGGUAUUGGUGUUUGGUUCGGCUUGUGUAGGAUAGGUGGGAGACUGUGAAGCGGCCACGCCAGUGGUUGUGGAGUCAUCGUUGAAAUACCACUCUGGUCGUACUAGAUGUCUAACCUAGGACCGUUAUCCGGUUCAGGGACAGUGCCUGAUGGGUAGUUUAACUGGGGCGGUUGCCUCCUAAAAUGUAACGGAGGCGCUCAAAGGUUCCCUCAGCCUGGUUGGCAAUCAGGUGGCGAGUGUAAGUGCACAAGGGAGCUUGACUGUGAGACUGACACGUCGAGCAGGGACGAAAGUCGGGACUAGUGAUCCGGCACCUCUGAGUGGAAGGGGUGUCGCUCAACGGAUAAAAGGUACCCCGGGGAUAACAGGCUGAUCUUCCCCAAGAGUCCAUAUCGACGGGAUGGUUUGGCACCUCGAUGUCGGCUCGUCGCAUCCUGGGGCUGGAGUAGGUCCCAAGGGUUGGGCUGUUCGCCCAUUAAAGCGGCACGCGAGCUGGGUUUAGAACGUCGUGAGACAGUUCGGUCCCUAUCCGCCGCGCGCGUAGGAAACUUGAGAAAGGCUGUCCCUAGUACGAGAGGACCGGGAUGGACGAACCUCUGGUGUGCCAGUUGUCCCGCCAGGGGCACGGCUGGUUAGCUACGUUCGGAAGUGAUAACCGCUGAAUGCAUCUAAGCGGGAAGCACGUUUCAAGAUGAGGUUUCCCACCCCCUCGAGGGGGUAAGGCCCCCAGCAGAACACUGGGUUGAUAGGCCGGAGGUGUACAGCAGCAAUGCCCAGCCGACCGGUACUAAUAGGCCGAGGGCUUGU
rnacentral:rRNA from 1 species